AAUAUUGUACAAUCGGCGAAAGCCUGAUCCAGCCAUGCCGCGCGUGUGAAGACGGUCUCCGGAUUAUAAAGCACUUUAAGUUGGUAGGAAGGGCUGUAGAUUAAUACUCUGCAAUUUUGACGUUACCAACAGAAUAAGCACCGGCUUACUUGGUGCCAGCAGCCGCGGUAAUACGAAGGGUGCAAGCGUUGAUCGGAAUUACUGGGCGUAAAGCGCGCGUAGGUGGUUUGUUAAGUUGGAAGUGAAAGACCCGGGCGCAACCUAGGAACUGCUUUCAAAACUGGCAAGCUAGAGUAUGGCAGAGGGUGGUGGAAUUUCCUGUGUAGCGGUGAAAUGCGUAGAUAUAGGAAGGAACACCAGUGGCGAAGGCGACUACCUGGACUGAUACUGACACUGAGGUGCGAAAGCGUGGGGAGCAAAC
rnacentral:rRNA from 1 species